ACUGCUCAGUCUACCUUGGAGGGGGGCUUAGGAAUGCGAGGGGCCAUCUAGGGCCUGCAAGACUUUUCCUUCCACAAUCCCCCGCUUUGUCAGUUCUUCUGACAACCAUAAUACAAAACAAACAAUUAAACAUAGCAUACCUUAUAAAUGCAAUGCAUACAACCUAUAUGAGAAUACAUCUGGUAUAUAAUGUUCAUACACUGUGGUGGUUCAUUGAAGUCAAUUUUUAGACUUUUAGUGUUCUUAGGAUAGAACAGAACAGGUUUAGAAGAGCUUGCCUUUAGAAAAGAGUGAGACAAUAAGGAGGUACAGCAAGAACAACAGCAACAAAUGGUGUUAGGUAGACAAUAGAUGACUAGGAGGAUGACACCAACACAAACGAGGACAUACAGAAUGGUAUGGAAAAUCUUAGCACUGAUAUCGUGGAACCAUGUGGAUGGGUCCAACCAGGGGAAGAUGGAUUGUUCCUUGUGAUUGGUUAAAAAGGUGUCCUUCCUCUGCUAAACCUUUACCAGGUGCUUGUCAUCAAUGUAAUUACAACUGUACCUAACCCUCCUUGACUAGCUGGAAGAUAAUAUAACACUAAACAAUGCGGCAGAACUUCCUUCUUCAAUUGUUGGAGUUCAUGACUUACUAUCUUCAAACUGUUGUCAUAUUCAUUAGUAAUGUUAUCAAGCAACAACAUACUAGACAUAAGGCUAAAGGCUUUCUUAAUGCAACAUCUAUUUACCUCAGGGGAAGUCAAAGAGAGCUCUUGCCUUACCUUUAAAGAUGCACGCUUCAUUAGGAAGUGUGCUGGAAUCUGAGCUAUCUUAAUAUCUUUAGCUUCCAUAUACCAUGUGGGAUGAAGCAAUUUACCAAUCAUACAUACACCAUGGGAGCCUUUUGGUAGCCACGGAUAGGCACAUUCACCACAAACAAAGUAAUAAGCGGAACUGUUGAUACAAAGGCCAUCAGAACAUAAGUGUACCAACUUACCAAUAUCCUUGGGCGACACCGUUUUAUGAAACUGGAGAAGUGUCAAAUUACCCCAAGGCCUGUUAACUAUAUCCUGACAGGAUAGAGAUUCUGCUACGUAUGUUAUACUGCGAGCUGACAAAGGAUAAUGUGUACAUAUCCAUCAAUCAGUAAUAGUUUGGAUGCUGUUAUAACAUACAUUUUAACAAAAGCAUUAUCAUUAGGCUCAAACAGUUAUGCAUAUAAGUCUCUUUUGACAACCUUAACCUGAUCGGUUGACGACAUAUUAGCCUCCGAAGUUGGUGAGGCUGCUGUUUGUUUACUUGUGAGUUGUCGUUGCCUGCAGGCUUUAUGAGUGCUAUCGUCAGCACAGCAACGAAGAUAAUGAUGUGCAGUACGGAGACACAGAUGAUAAGUCUUUUAUCUGGCCUUGGGCCAAAGCAUCUGGCACACAGAGACAUGAUGGUGCUGCUGAGGAUCUUCACCCGAUGGGGACCUACGUCUUUUGCACUGCACGUUAGGGUCCCUGGGACUUAGGUGGUGGAGGGAAAGAGGCGUUAUUAUGUCCUACAAUUCCCCCCCACUUACACCGCAGGUGGAAGUUGAGAUUUCGGUUUCCCUUCAACCUUCACAGCUGUUUCUGUGACUAGGAGUACCUGGAAUGGUCAUUUUCAGCGAGGUUGAAGAUCUUUGGCACUGUGUCUCCUUAUGAGGAUCCAAUCUCCUGGAAUGAGAGCAUGUGGUUCCAGAACAUCCGCUGGAUCUGGUAAUGAAGAAUAAACUCGAGAACACAAUUUGGUCAGUUCCUUAUGUAACUGAGAAACAUAUUCAGUCAUUCGUCCAUAGUUCAUGCAAAGAAGAUGAGUAGAAGGAAAGUACUGAGCCAAGCGUGCUUGUCUCCCAAACAAUAUUUCAUAUGGGGAGAGUUUACUUAGCCUUUGGGGAGUGUGCAUGACAGACAUAAGCACUAUAUCAAGGGCAUCUGGCCACACAAGUUUAGUCUCUGCACAUACUUUACUUAGCCUGCUUUUAAUAACACCCUUUAGACUUUCCCACUAGCUUGGGGAUGAAAUGGUGUGUAACAUUUGAUGAAUCCCAAUGUCUUUGUGCAGAUUAAUUACAUAACCUGUCCCAUGAAACGUGUACCUUGAUCAGAGGAUAAUACCUCAGGCAGUCCAUAACUGUAGACAAUCUCUGCAAUUAACUCAUUAGCUAUAGCUUCAUCUGAAGCUUUUACAAUGGACCCAGGGAAUUGGUCAACACAAACAAUUACAUAUGCAUGGGUACAACAUUUAGGUAACUGUAGGAAAUCUAUCUGCAAUAUAUGAAAUUGUUACAUUGGUUUAGGUCAGUGUUUGAUAGGUGUUGGAAUCGUCUUACCUAGAUUAUAUUGCAAACAAAUAAAACAUAAUUAUACAUAUGUGGCUGCAAAAGACGAGAACCCGGGGGCAAACCACAUUCCUGACACUACAUCACAUAUCCCCCCAUAAAAAGUGUGGGUGAGAUCAUGUGAGGCAGCAACCAAAUAUGGUAACAGAGCACGGGGUGCAACAGGGCAAUCACCUAAAUGCCAAACAAAAACAUCACCACUUGGAGUUUGUGUGCAUCCGGCUUUAAGCCAACGUUCCUUCUCCUCAGGCUCUGCUUGGUCCUGAAGGGCUGCUAAUACAGCGCUAGAGGGAACAGGUAGAGUUGGUUCUUUUACAACACAUGCUUUUACCAUUUUAUAACACAAUGCUGCUUGCUUUGCAGCUACAUCAGCAUAGGCAUUAUCUUGUGCUACAGGGUCAGAGGACCCAGUGUGGGCUUAGUACUUAAUGACUGCAACCUGUUUUGUUAGUCGGAUUUGGCACUACCGGAUGGGCUGCAAUAACAACUUCGUUAACUGCUCUGAGAUCCUGAACAAACCGCCACUCAUUCUUGCCGGGCUUUUUUUUAAUUGGCAAGAUGGGCAUAUUUACAGGGCCAAUCCUAUGGUUGAACACUCCCUUAUCAAGUAACCCUUGAAUUACGGGGCAAAUCCCCUAUACCUUUGCCCUGGACAGUGGGUACUGUGAGAUUUUGGGCGGGGGGGGCCCUUUGGGUCUACUUGUAUUGACACUGGUGGGAUGGAUGACAUGAACCCAACAUCUGUUGGUGAGAAAGCCCACAAAUCACUUGAAACACAUUGUAAUUUAGGAGGUACAGAAUCUUCCUCCUCAGAAAUUUCCUUUAGUGACAGAAGAUUAGUAGUAUCUAGUGCAUUGGUCAUCUCAGACACUUAUGGAGGCAGGACAGGCACAAAUACUGCAUCCGGAUUACAGUAUAUGGUGCACACUGGUUUAGAAAGGAUGUCCCUACCUAUGAAACUGUCAGGGAUGGAGGCACUUAAAAGAAAGGCAGCUUUUGUGGAUACAGGACCAAUGGACACUUGCGAUGGGCUUGUUUCUGCCAUAGGGAUAGGAUUUCCUCCAACUCACACUGCCGUGACUACAUUACCAGAUAAUGGCAGGUUUGAGUGAGUCUUUAAAACUGAGCGGGCAGCACCAGUAUUCAGUAAACAAAGUUAGGGUCUUUUAAUUAAUAAACACUUCAAUUAGGAGGUCUGGAUGGUGAUUAGAAGUGUUUGGAAAUACUGGUAACGGGGCUGCAUCGCACCUUCAAGCAGAAUUUAUGAGGGAUGCAUUGGAAUGUGAAGGGGCUGCAUCUCCUGCAGGGAAAGGGCUUUCUUUGGGGAUAUGCACUUAUAUGCAUAAUGCCCUUGAUUAUUACAAUUAA